UAAAGAAACAGAAAUCUACCUUGUGUAAGGAGGAGCAUUAACUUGCUCUUUGGGCUUUCAAUUCCAGCAAUUGUCAAAAGCAUUGGAAAUGAGCAAAUCCUAAGAAAGAACUUCAUAAGAUCAUAAGGAUAAUGGCUCUGGAACACCUAGUCCAGCCAAGGCAACAAAACAACUGUCUACGUCCAAGCAGAGUUAGAGGCUUUCCACCCUCUGCCAAGCCAAACCACUGACCAUGACCCCUGGAGAAAAGAUGAAAAACAAACAGCUCUCCAUCAUGGCAGAUCACCACCCAUGGACGCCUUCUCUUCCAGUGCUCUUCCUGACCGUCCUCCAUUGAGGGCUUUUCUAAGAUACUGUGAAGUCUUUUCACUUCCCGUGGUUCCCAGGUAAACACUUCAGCUGACCCUUCCUUAGAGGAGAGGUAUGCUGGGGCUAGCUCUAAAACCUUACAAAAGCCAGUUGUUAAAUUUUCAUAGUGAGCAAAAGUCAGACAUCAAGGCUGGAUUUAUUGAUUGGCUUAGUUUGUUUUGUUGACUGCCUAGGCUUAAGGAAGUAGAAAUUUAAAUUUAAAAUGUGGGCAUACAUUCCAGCCUAGCUCACCUCCAUAUUGCUCUUAGAACUGUGACUUGAGCUAAUGAUGAC
rnacentral:lncRNA from 1 species